rnacentral:rRNA from 1 species
UACGUAGGGUGCGAGCGUUAAUCGGAAUUACUGGGCGUAAAGCGUGCGCAGGCGGUUUUGUAAGCCAGAUGUGAAAUCCCCGGGCUUAACCUGGGAAUGGCAUUUGGGACUGCAAGGCUUGAGUGCGGCAGAGGAGACUGGAAUUCCUGGUGUAGCAGUGAAAUGCGUAGAUAUCGGUAGGAACACCAGUGGCGAAGGCGGUCUCCUGGGGCAUUCUUGACGCUGAGGCGCGAAAGCUGGGGGAGCGAACGGG